rnacentral:rRNA from 1 species
UAGGGAAUCUUCCGCAAUGGGCGAAAGCCUGACGGAGCAACGCCGCGUGAGUGAUGAAGGUCUUCGGAUCGUAAAACUCUGUUAUUAGGGAAGAACAAAUGUGUAAGUAACUAUGCACGUCUUGACGGUACCUAAUCAGAAAGCCACGGCUAACUCCGUGCCAGCAGCCGCGGUAAUACGUAGGUGGCAAGCGUUAUCCGGAAUUAUUGGGCGUAAAGCGCGCGUAGGCGGUUUUUUAAGUCUGAUGUGAAAGCCCACGGCUCAACCGUGGAGGGUCAUUGGAAACUGGAAAACUUGAGUGCAGAAGAGGAAAGUGGAAUUCCAUGUGUAGCGGUGAAAUGCGCAGAGAUAUGGAGGAACACCAGUGGCGAAGGCGACUUUCUGGUCUGUAACUGACGCUGAUGUGCGAAAGCGUGGGGAUCAAACAGG